rnacentral:lncRNA from 10 species
AUUGCUUCCCACAAAGUUGCCAACUGGACUCUGUUAUAAAAAUUAAAAGCACACAUCACGAAAAUUCUUGGACUUGCAAAGCAAUAAGCCUACUAACAAAAUAAGUGCUAUAGUUUCUUUUGAAAUAAGGCAUUCUAAUUAUCUCAGUAUGUCUGCCAACCAAAUAAUGGGAAAUCAGGGAACUAACUUAAUAUUUAAUACAUUAACUAUUAGUAAAAUAAAAACACUCUUACAUCCAUGGCCUAAAUACUAUAGAUAUUAUAGAUGAGGAAAGAGGCAUUUCCUCUAUACAAGGGUGCUUGCUCAAUGUACAAUAAAGGUAAUAACACAAAUAUUAUUCAAGUCUGUGUUUUUGGUUGGGGAGUUCCUAGUUUUAAAAAAUACUCAUUUGGUGAAAUAAAUCAUCUUGAGAUUUUUCUGAAACCAUGCUGCUUACAAGGAUUUCCCAUAUUACUAGAAUUUUUUUACUUUUCUGUAAACAUUUUCU